rnacentral:rRNA from 1 species
AAUCAACGCUGGCGGCGUGCCUCAGACAUGCAAGUCGAACGAUUAAGACUUCCUUCGGGAAGUGCAUAAAGUGGCGCACGGGUGAGUAACACGUAAGUAAUCUACCUUCGAGUGGGGAAUAACGUUCGGAAACGAACGCUAAUACCGCAUAAUGCAGCGGCAUCGCAAGAUGACAGUUGUUAAAGGAAUUUAUUUCGCUUGAAGAGGAGCUUGCGGCAGAUUAGCUAGUUGGUAAGGUAACGGCUUACCAAGGCUACGAUCUGUAUCCGGUCUAAGAGGACGGUCGGACACACUGACACUGAAUAACGGGUCAGACUCCUACGGGAGGCAGCAGUCGGGAAUUUUGGGCAAUGGGCGAAAGCCUGACCCAGCAACGCCGCGUGAAGGAUGAAGUAUUUCGGUAUGUAAACUUCGAAAGAAUGGGAAGAAUAAAUGACGGU